GACGAACGCUGGCGGCGUGCUCAACACAUGCAAGUCGAACGAGUGGCGAACGGGUGAGUAAUACGUGAGUAACCUGCCCUCUUUUUGGGAUAAGCCUUGGAAACGGGGUCUAAUACCGGAUAAAGGGGGAUGGGCUCGCGGCCUAUAAGCUUGUUGGUGGGGUGAUGGCCUACCAAGGCGGUGACGGGUAGCCGGCCGGAGAGGGUGACCUGCCACAUUGGGACUGAGAUACGGCCCAGACUCCGACGGGAGGCAGCAGUGGGGGAUAUUGCACAAUGGGCGAAAGCCUGAUGCAGCGACGCCGCGUGGGGGAUGAAGGCUUUGGGGUUGUAAUCCUCUUUCGCGAUCAAACGGGUAGGUGGAGAAGAAGCGCCGGCUAACUACGUGCCAGCAGCCGCGGUAAUUC
rnacentral:rRNA from 1 species